GAGAACUGUAGGAACACUCCAAGACUGUUGGGAGGGAUGCCCUUGAAACCCUCCAUUAUUGAUGUUAUUAUUAUGGUUAGAAUUAAGUAUGACUGGGUUCAUGGAAAAUCCCCAGUCAGCUGCAGAAGACUAAUACAAAUCUGGUGGUCAAGAUGAAUAAUAAUAUGAUACAUCAAGAUACCCAAUGUGAUGACCUGUAGUAACCUUCUGAAAAACCAACAUCCUGCUGACUAAUAGAUAUGACAAACCUAUGACCUUUCUGACAUCCUGUCAACAUCAGCCGAUUCCCUGACCACACGAAUACUGUGUCCUUGGCUUGCAUAAAUGUUUCAUACUUCCCUCCUCCUUCUGUUACCCCUGUUAUGGUAUAAAUUCAGCCUUGGGGAAAAAUAAAAUUGUCGCCUUGAUCAGACUCUUGUCUUGGUGUCCUUCUUCAUGUCUCUUGUUCCCCAUUCUCUUCCUCAGCACCCUCAUUGAUAAAUGGCGCCCAACAUGGGGCUGUUUGGAGGUCUCCUGGAGGAGAACAUUGUCCCCUGUGAAUAGGAAAGCUUGUCUUCCUUGUUUGUCGGAGCCUUUGCUCUCCCCUUGGAGCCUUUGCUCCCCCCUUGGAGCCUUUGUUCCCCUGCUUCUGGCAACCAUGGACUGCCGACCUUGGUUAGAGGCUUGGUGUGAAUUUCUCCCCUGAUGACGCAGAUCUCAGUGCGGUCACUUUGUCAAUCUGUGCUCUGUGGGUGGUGCUCCUGAGGUAGGGCCAUAUGGGGUCGUACAACAUUUUGGUGCACUUGCGAGGAACUGUGCUCCCCCCCCAGACCUCAACUGGCAAAGAGAUUGGAGAAGGAGUCCAUGGAGGCGCACGCGACUUCAUCUACAGCCUGCACUCACCCGAGAGGAGCUGCUUGCUCAAAGAAUUGCACCAUUGCCAUCGCAUAAGAAGAACUGGAAGCUCUGUCACCCACUCCAGGACAGCUGAGAUAUGUGUUCUUCCACAAUGAGAUACCUUUCUUAGGGUUUGGCUUUUUGUAUAAUGCAAUUACGAUAGUUGCAGGAACCCAAAUUUAAUUGUCUAUUGGAAUUAUUUUCUGAAUGUCAACAAUGGCAGUCAACAUGUUAUCUUUUCCCUCCAUGUUAUUUAAUUUUCAACAUAUUAUUUAAUUUUCAAUUAUUGAUAUUGUAUAGCACUGAGUUGGGGUUUGCUUUUUCUGAUAUAACAUGCAUGGGAUACCUAUUAAUGUCUUUUUUCCCCUGAUGGUUAUAAUUCAAUGCUGAGGUUUCUCCAAAUUAUUUAAGGUGUUUAAUAUCAGUGAAAAUUGUAAUUCCCUGCCUGGUGGCAUCCCUUCUGUGUGAUAUUUCAUGGUAAACAUUUACAAUCAUAUAAAUUCAUUCAAUUUUUAAACUUCCACAUCUAUCAAAUAUGGAGCAGAGUUUCAAGUAUAUCUGAAUAUUUUAAUUUUGAACCACACUGUCUUUAAGAGUCAGAGGUUAAUCAGAAAGAACAAUUGUCUGGCCCCUCUUUUACGUAAACCUACAUGCUAACAAGUGUAUUUAUUUCUGAUUGGCUUUCUAUCUUUAAUUUCUCAACUUUGAGUGAUCACACUGAAUUCUGGGUUGUGAGAGAAAGGCAGUGUUUGGAUACUUCCUGUGUCUUAGAAUAUGGUGAAAGAGAGCAUGAAAAAGGUCAGAAAAGGAUUAAAAAAGAGAAAACAAGAAAGAGAAAAGGCUGAGUACUGGUAUCAAAAUUGAUUCUCCACCUCUCCUUGGUUGUCCACCCUGCUUCCCUCUCUGUUGGGCCCCCUAGUAGUCCUUCUUUUGCUUAUAUCUUUUGGUAGUUGGACAUUUAAUCAUUUAACCGGCUUUAUUAAACAACAGGUAGAUAAUAUAGCAACAAAACCUAUUCAGGUAUAUUAUCAUAGGCUAGCUAUGGAGGAUGCUUUGAUGAUGGCCAAGCUCACCUACACAUCUCCUCCCAGCCCAGGCAAGGACAUUUUUGUCCUCUAGCCAAAUGAGGCCAACAUUCUUUUCUGCCUGCUGUCCUGAUGCCUUUGCUGAAAAAUCAAUGAAUUGUCACCCCUGCAUGCUGAGCUGGACAGUCAAUGACAGGUAAGAGAGUGAUAUAUUCACAAAUAAAAGGCCUAAGAGGGCCGCCAUUAGCUGCUGCCUUAUCCCAUGACGGACCCUGGUCACAAGAUUCUCUUGGCCAUGUGACAAAUAUCACUCCAACCUAAGACAGACACAGUUCCCAAGGGGCUCAUUCCAGGACAGUACAACCAUUUGGCUACCUUUUCAUUUGACUCUAAGGAAGGGGAAGAUGUUGGGAGCGAUGCCCUUGAAACCCUCCAUUAUUGAUGUUAUUAUUAUGGUUAGAAUUAAGUAUGACUGGGUUCAUGGAAAAUCCCCAGUCAGCUGCAGAAGACUAAUACAAAUCUGGUGGUCAAGAUGAAUAAUAAUAUGAUACAUCAAGAUACCCAAUGUGAUGACCCGUAACCUUUCUGAAAAACCAACAUCCUGCUGACUAAUAGAUAUGACAAACCUGUGACUUUCUGACAUCCUGUCAACAUCAGCCGAUUCCCUGACCACACGAAUACUGUGUCCUUGGCCUGCGUAAAUGUUUCAUACUUCCCCCCUCUUUCUGUUACCCCUGUUAUGGUAUAAAUUCAGCCUUGGGGAAAAAUAAAAUUGUCGCCUUGAUCAGAAUCUUGUCUUGGUGUCCUUCUUCAUGUCUCUUGUCCCCCAUUCUUUUCCAGGUACCCUCAGCACCCUCGUUGACACAAGACUUAAGUCUGGACAAUGAUUUUUUUUGAUACAACUAAAAAAAAAAUCUCAAGCAAUAAAAGGAAUUACUGCAAACUAUAGAUAUUCUACAAAGCCAAGGAAACAAUGAGCAAACAACCAAUGCAAUGGGGAAAAUGUAAAUUACACACUUGAAAGGGGAUCAUUAUUUGAAAUACAUCAGAAAUACAACUCAGUGUCAACCUAAUUAAACUUAUUCAGAGAAAACAAACAGAUGCUUCCCCAAAACGACCUAAAAAUGGCCAACACACUCACACAGAGACAUGUUUAAGAUCACUAACUAUCAAAGAAAAGCAGGUUCAAAAUAUAGUGAGAGUCUACCUUGUACCUACUCCUCCUAGAUGGCUCUUACAGAAAAGACGAGAGAGAAGUGUUGGCGACAGGUAGAAACUUGAAUUAGUGCAGCUACUAGAGACAAUGGCAAUCUCUAAAUGUAGAAA